CCCUUAGAUGUUCUGGGCUGCACGCGCGCUACACUGAUGCGCUCAACGAGUUUUAACCUUGCCUGGAAAGGUUGGGUAAUCUUUGAAACUGCAUCGUGAUGGGGCUAGAUUAUUGCAAUUAUUAAUCUUCAACGAGGAAUGCCUAGUAAGCGUGAUUCAUCAAAUCGCGUUGAUUACGUCCCUGCCCUUUGUACACACCGCCCGUCGCUCCUACCGAUUGAGUGUGUUGGUGAGGAGUUUGGAUUGGCCUCGGAAGGUGGUUCGCCACCGUCCGUAGCUGAGAAGUUCUCCAAACCGCCCCACUUAGAGGAAGGAGAAGUCGUAACA
rnacentral:rRNA from 1 species